rnacentral:tRNA from 1 species
GUUCCUGUAGUUGAAAGACAACGUCGGUUUUUCAAGCCGUUAGUCCGGGUUAAACCCCCGGCAGAAACC